rnacentral:lncRNA from 1 species
GGUUUUAACAAUCAGACUAAAUAAGGCGACCUGACUCCAUGCCUGGAAAACUCACCAGGCUCAGGAGAGCUUUGUCAUUAUUACCUCAUCUGAGAGCCACUUAACCCAGGCAGGCCCUGGACGUGCCUUGCUGGCUGAUCUCACGCAGGAGAGAUCGGUGCAGUGCAGGCAGGUGGCAGACUGGCCGUGCCUCCACACGGGCCCUCCCUGGCCACCACUGUUCGGGAUUCAGUUCUUGUUUCUGUUGUUACUCAGAGGGCAUAGAGGAGACCGGCAUACCCAGCGGCCAAAGGCAGGGCCCAGGCGGGGGUGAGCACAGGCUGGGACUCUAUUCCCUGGGGUGAUGGAAGACUGGCUCUUGAGCUGCAUCCUUGGUAGCUUUUCCUUCUUCAUCUCAUUGCCAGUGAGGACACUGAGGAGGAGAAGGAGGUGAGGAGGAGGAAAAAGAUGAGGAAAAGGAGAAAACCAACCACGAUCCACUGUCACCAAAUGAGCAUGCCAGGUUGCCAUGCUGCACAGCUCCAAGAAGCACCACUGUCCAUGUGGUCAACAUGGAUGGAUCCCUGAGGAGGUGUCCAGCAGCAGCCUGCAUGCCAUGCGUGGCUCUGAAGUCAAUAAUCCUGGAAAAAGGGUCAUUCCUUCCCAAUAAACGACAGUGGGCUAUCUCCCGCAGACACCCACGAAAUUUCCCUCCUUUUCCUUCCAUGGAGGACUGGUGAAAACGUCAUCAUGGACCUGACCUGCAUCUGGAGACCAUCCCUCAGAGGUGCUGCAGAGCUCCUUUCUGCCCAGGCAUUUACGGUGGGUGAGAACUUGGAGAGGCGAGCUCACGAGGGAGUUGGGGUUUUGACUUGGCCAUGACUACUCAGCUCAGGAUGAAAGCUGAUACUUUCUGAGUGCAUUCUUUGAUUAACCCUUCAAUCCUCACAAUCACCCCAUGUCACCAGGAGGAAACUGAGGCAAAGUCCACACAACUGGCAAAUCUGGUAUGACUCUCUUUCUGUCACAGCAGUUUGCUGGCAACAGACCUACAGCCAGAUGCUCAGGGCAGUCCCGACAUCAGGCACAGCAGCUGCACUUUUCCGAAGCCCCUUUGCGGAUGCAGCCCUGGGC